GGCCCCGCCCCCAUCCCCGCCCCCUCCCGCACCGCGGGGGGACCUCGCCUUCCUCCGGAGCUGUGGUUCCCACAGGCUGUUGUGAGUGGCGUUUCAGCUCCGCUGCUCCCGAGUGGCGGGAUCGGGGCACCCCCUUCCGCCCUGGCUCAGUAUAUUGGGGGCGCUGACCGUGAGAGGGGCGGGAGGAGCGGGCGUCGGUCUUCGACCGUGGGCGCCAAUCUUACAGCGCCCUCUGGGCGUGGGCACCCAGCGUCCUCCAGCCCAAAUUCUGCAGGAAAGCCUCUUCCUUGAGAAGCUGCCUCAGAGAUACAGCCCUUUGGAAUGUGACAGCAACAUCGGUACAUAUGCACAGUGAAAGAACACCUCAAUUUCAACUGGCCCUUUGGCCAUCCAAAAUGAAGAUUCUCUUUCCCAGCAUCGCCACAGCUCUAUGUAGCUGCCGGAUGACGGGACAGGAGCAGAGAUGGUCGUACGUACGUUCAGGGAACGAGCAGAGGCGGUUGUACAUACGUUCAGGGAGCGUCAAAGGGAAGGACAGUUCCUUCUUUCCUUUUUUCUUUCCUCCUGGUUGGGAUGCUAGAUAUGGCUACAGCUGGAGCAGUCAUCUUGGACAGGAAGUGAACUUGAGAACAGAGACCAUGCCUGGCAGAGGACCAGGUUAGGAGCGUCGGGUGCCCAGCCAGUGAGGCGGCACACCAGCCUUGCCCUGCCCAUGCACACGUGUGGAUGAUGGACCUCUGCGUUGCUUCAAAAACUGUUAUCCUGGAUUUUCCACCCCUUGCCAGAGAAUCUAACUCUGACAAAUACUCUGGUCAAUUUGGCCUCCUGCAUGUAACCCAAGAGAGUGUGGGGAGGACAGUUGUGUGGGGGGGAGGAGGGAGAGGGGGAUAGUUCCAAAGAUGCUGCCCAUGAUACGACCCCACCAGCUCCCCAGUGCUGGACUGUCUUAAAUUUUGGAUUUGACUCAAGUCACCUAACAACCUCGGUCCCCAAAAGAAGUCUUGAUGAGAAAUAGGCUGUUCACGCGAUGGGGCGUUUUCAGAAUCUGAAGCCCAUACAGUCUGUUCUGCUCACACUGCUGGGGACCAUGCUCAGCAGGCGGCAGGCAUGCAGAGGGGGCUCCACAGGAAGCCCUCACCCCAGUCCGCAAUGGGGCCGUGCUGGAGUCCGAAGUGACACACGAAGAAUGAGAGGCCCAUGGGAAAUUUUUGUUUCUUCCAUGAAACUUACAUGUUGUUUUCACGGAUAUUGGGAACUGUGUAACUACAUGUACUGUUGGCACCUUUGUGCUCAGGCGGCUCUAAAACACCGGGUGCCUGGGGGAUUGUGAGCAUCCUGGACUCUACGUCCUGCUUCUCUGUCGCUAUCCCCACGCCCUGCCUCACCAUUAUGCUACCUGCCCAUUUCUGAUGUAUGGUUUUGCUUGCCGUUGAAGUUGAGUCUGAUAUUUGCUAGGAUGUCAGCAGGAGAAAAAGAAUAAACACAUCCUCUGUAAAUAGCACUGGAAUUUCCACAUCCAAACCAGAGUUCCUUCCCCAAAGCCGUCCCCUUGGGGGACCGUGUUUAUCAUCUGAUGCUACCCUCGCCACCACCCUAGGGAGACCUGAGGACUCUUUGUCUAUAAAGAUAGCUUUUUUUUUGAGGAAGGUGGGCUGUAGUUCAUUCAUUUGAUAAACGUGUCCAGAGCUGCAGUGCUGCCCGGCUCCACCUCUGCAGCAGCCUUCAUUGGAGGCUUGGACAGGAAGCUCUCAGGCAGGCAGGUAUGCCAACCAGUCUCACCCUCCCAGGUGCCGCCAGACUGAUUCAUCCUGAGCCACUUCCUGGGGCGGGGCUGCUCGGCCCACAGCAGCCUGUCCCCACCUCCCAACGACCUGGCUUCAGAGAAGCCAAAGGGCUUUCCCUGACUCAGCCCCGUGUUGGCAAGGGGCGCUUGUGCCGAGGUUGUUAGGGGCGGGGAAGCUGAGGGCCACGUCUGUCUCACUCACCCCUACCAUCUCAGGCGGCCACCAGAUGCAAUUCCUCCUCCACAUUCUUAGACCACCUUAGCUGUGUGGCCUCGAGCAAGUAACUUAGCCUCUCUGUGCUUUGAUUUGCUCCCCUAUGAAUUGGGGACAUACUAGUACCUACUCAGAGAGGUGUUGGGACGGUAAAAGGAGAGAAGCACCGUGAAAGGUUCAGCACGGCGCCCGGCACACGUUAGCGGCACUGGGGCUGUGAUGGUGCACCUGGGAAAGGUGGGUAGAAACUCAUCUUCACAGCCCCCUCCCCUGCGACCUGGGCCCGGGCGCGCCUAAGCCUUCUGAACUCAGCUCUUUGUGACAGCACUUAGCACUCCCCCUGGCACCAGGCCUGGUAAAUAGCAGUGUUGGAGAAGUCAGGCAUUCCAAGACCCCAGGGGAGACGCUGGGGUGGGCUCUGAAGGGGAAGGAGCUCACAGCAGCCGGGGCCGUAGAAGGCAGGGUGUGAUGUGGGUGCAGGGAUGUGCGUGUAGUGCCUGCGUGUGGCAAGUUCUCUCCUCAGAUAGAAGGUAAACCCUGUACUCAUCAGAGGUUGCACACCAAACAGCCCCCAGGGCUGCAUUUGGCCUGUAGAAAUGUUUUGCCCUUCAGUGCUUUUCUAAAAAGAGACAUCUCCAUAAGGAAAUCACACGUACGAAUCCAGAUUUCGGAUUUUCUAAAAGAAUCAGAAGAGCUCGUAACACUGGACCCCCAUCCCGUUGUGGCAAGGACCAGCUAAAGCCACGACUCAUGACAUGUAUGCAUUUCUAGCACAUUCACCACCUCCUGGGCCCUGCGGGAGUCGACUUCCAAGAGGCUCUGGCAUGAGACUGCAGUUGACCUCUGGCCCUGCCUCCCUGGGCAAGUCACACAAGCCCUCUAAGCCUUAGCUUUGUCAUCUGUAAAAGGCAUCUAAGACUAGUCCCUUCCUCACACCGUUGUGAGGGGGGAUGGGAUAAUAUAUGUAGAGCACCUGACGCCUGGCACAUAGCAAGUAUUUUAUACUUUCCAGCUAUUGCUGCUGUUGCCUCUGGUACCAGCUCAUGAUUUCAGGAUCAAAACUGACCUCCGUGGAGACCGGAAAGGACCUUCCUUAACUUGGACAGCUUGUUUUCUCCCCAGGUGAAACCGCUGCCAGCUGGAAAUGACCACACUGGGGGGAAAUUUUUAAAAAUCCCCUCUGUUCCAUCUACUGAUCCCUUCCUCCCCACC